AACGAACGCUGGCGGCGCGCCUAACACAUGCAAGUCGAACGAGAAGGCGUAGCAAUACGCUUGUAGAGUGGCGAACGGGUGAGUAAUACGUGGGUGACCUACCCUCGAGUGGGGAAUAACCCGCCGAAAGGCGGGCUAAUGCCGCGUACGCUUCCGUCCUCACGGGGACGGAAGGAAAGCUGUACCGUGGGUACGGCGCUCAAGGAUGGGCUCACGUCCUAUCAGCUUGUUGGUAGGUAACGGCCUACCAAGGCUACGACGGGUAGCUGGUCUGAGAGGACGAUCAGCCACACUGGCACUGCGACACGGGCCAGACUCCUACGGGAGGCAGCAGUGAGGAAUAUUGCGCAAUGGGCGAAAGCCUGACGCAGCGACGCCGCGUGGGGAUGAAGGUCUUCGGAUUGU
rnacentral:rRNA from 1 species